rnacentral:lncRNA from 1 species
UGUAAACAGCAAAUAUGCAGUAAUUAGAUUGAAUUAUGUCCUGACAUUGUGACGUAUUAGGUUUUGGAAUAGUUCCCCUGGGGAAGUGGUUAGACUCCUGAGAGUUUCAGAGCUGGAAUGGACUAGCCCUACUAAACUCUACUUAUUUUAAAGACUGAUUUGACUUUAAUGUAAAGCCCUGAAGACAGAUGUAGAACAACAGUACAAUACAGCUGAAUGAACAGAUGUGUGCACCAACCAUACGAUCAUAAAAUAAGAGAAGCAGAAUGGCCAGUAAAGCUCAGAAAAGAGCAGCAGAACAGGGCAGCAGAGUUCAGGGGCAGUCAGAGAGGUCUCAAGAGAAGCAUCCCUUGGGACAUGCCGUGUGAAGACACUGAAGACAUUUCCCACAUGCGACUGAAAUCCCACCCUGUUCCACUAGAGGGUUGUUGCUGAAGGACAAGCCUGAGCAGCAGCACUAAGUGACAGGCCGUGGGCUCUACCUGUGUGUAGUUCUAACUGUUGUUUCCAAAUGCAGGGUUACAGCCUCUACUUCCCACCACUGGUUCUUCUCGCAAAAGCAAUUUAUGAAGCAAAAGCAACUGAAAUGUUAUCCUUUCCCCAGCUUCUGAGCCAUCAAGGCUCCCACUACACUCCUUUCUCAGUCUGACUUUGCUACCUAUUGAACAAGAAUGCUUGACAGAUUAUAAAACAUAAAGAUAAAAAAGACAUUAAAUGUCAUCUCUCUUCCACCAGACAGAAUAUCUACUUUAUUAUUUUUUUUAAUAGUAAAGAAAAGUCAUACCAUAGAAAAAGCAUUAUUGCAGAAUAUUUUGGCUGACAUAACAGACUGUUCCUUGUAAUGGAGAGAAAGAUGGGUCUUGGUCUGAUGGCAGACAUCACCUGUACAUCUUGUCUGAACAGGAGUGCUCAGAAAAAGAGAUCAGAUAAUAUUAAUUCUGCCCCUAAAAAAGGAUAUGGCUGAAACUGAAUGACAAACACCUUGCUUCUUUAAACAAAUUAUUAAAAUAUUUAGAAAUAUAAUAAUGACAAAACAAACACAAUUAUCUACCAUCCCUCCCAACAAGCAGUCAUGCUUUUAUCUGUGAGCAUUCAUCUUUGUGUCGAGUUGUUUCUUUUUUUAACUUGGGGUUGGAUCCUGCCCAGGAUUUGACCU